rnacentral:rRNA from 1 species
GACGAACGCUGGCGGCGUGCUUAACACAUGCAAGUCGAACGAAGUGGCGAACGGGUGAGUAACGCGUAAUCAACCUGCCCUUCAGGGGGGAAAACCAGUGGGAAACGACUGCUACUACCGCAUACGGAAGAAGGGGAUUGCGUGUGAUUAGCUCGUUGGAUGGGUAAAGGCCCACUAAGGCGAUGAUCAGUAGGUGGUCUGGGAGGAUGAACGGGCAACUUGGGACGUGGACACGGCCCAGACUCCUACGGGAGGCAGCAGUGGGGAAACGUCCGCAAUGGACGAAAGUCUGACGGAGCAACGCCGCGUGAGUGAUGACGGCCUUCGGGUUGGAAAGCUCUGUUAAUCGGGACGCGGUACCGGAAUAGAAAGCCACGGCUAACUACGUGCCAGCAGCCGCGGUAACUC